rnacentral:lncRNA from 1 species
ACUGGGAGGGACUGGGAGGGAACUGGGAGGGACUGGGGGGGACUGGGAGGGAGUGGGAGGGAACUGGGAGGGACUGGGAUGGACUGGGAAGGACUGGGAGGCACUGGGAGGGACUGGGAGGGACUGGGUUAUACUGGUUCCUAUGGGUCUCUAUUGACCACUAUGUGCCCAUACUGGUCCAUACUGGUUUAUACUGGUCCAUACUGGUCCAUACUGGUUUAUACUGGUCCAUACUGGUCCAUACUGGUUUAUACUGGUCCAUACUGGUCCAUACUGGUCCAUACUGGUUUAUACUGGUCCAUACUGGUCCAUACUGGUCCAUACUGGUGCGGGAGGAGGUGGGGGAAUGGGUUCUACUGGGAUCUCCUACUGCUUCUUACUGGUUCCUAUGGCU